GGUCGUGGCGAACGGGUGAGUAACACGUGAGCAAUCUGCCCCUGACUCUGGGAUAACAGUUGGAAACAGCUGCUAAUACCGGAUACGAGACGUGACCGCAUGGUCAACGUUUGGAAAGAACUUCGGUCAGGGAUGAGCUCGCGGCCUAUCAGCUUGUUGGUGAGGUAAUGGCUCACCAAGGCGUCGACGGGUAGCCGGCCUGAGAGGGUGACCGGCCACACUGGGACUGAGACACGGCCCAGACUCCUACGGGAGGCAGCAGUGGGGAAUAUUGCACAAUGGGCGGAAGCCUGAUGCAGCAACGCCGCGUGAGGGACGACGGCCUUCGGGUUGUAAACCUCUUUUAGCAGGGAAGAAGCGAAAGUGACGGUACCUGCAGAAAAAGCGCCGGCUAACUACGUGCCAGCAGCCGCGGUAAUACGUAGGGCGCAAGCGUUAUCCGGAAUUAUUGGGCGUAAAGAGCUCGUAGGCGGUUUGUCGCGUCUGCUGUGAAAACUGGAGGCUCAACCUCCAGCCUGCAGUGGGUACGGGCAGACUAGAGUGCGGUAGGGGAGAUUGGAAUUCCUGGUGUAGCGGUGGAAUGCGCAGAUAUCAGGAGGAACACCGAUGGCGAAGGCAGAUCUCUGGGCCGUAACUGACGCUGAGGAGCGAAAGGGUGGGGAGCAAACAGGCUUAGAUACCCUGGUAGUCCACCCCGUAAACGUUGGGAACUAGUUGUGGGGUCCAUUCCACGGAUUCCGUGACGCAGCUAACGCAUUAAGUUCCCCGCCUGGGGAGUACGGCCGCAAGGCUAAAACUCAAAGGAAUUGACGGGGACCCGCACAAGCGGCGGAGCAUGCGGAUUAAUUCGAUGCAACGCGAAGAACCUUACCAAGGCUUGACAUAUACGAGAACGGGCUAGAAAUAGUCAACUCUUUGGACACUCGUAAACAGGUGGUGCAUGGUUGUCGUCAGCUCGUGUCGUGAGAUGUUGGGUUAAGUCCCGCAACGAGCGCAACCCUCGUUCUAUGUUGCCAGCACGUAAUGGUGGGAACUCAUGGGAUACUGCCGGGGUCAACUCGGAGGAAGGUGGGGAUGACGUCAAAUCAUCAUGCCCCUUAUGUCUUGGGCUUCACGCAUGCUACAAUGGCCGGUACAAAGGGCUGCAAUACCGUAAGGUGGAGCGAAUCCCAAAAAGCCGGUCCCAGUUCGGAUUGAGGUCUGCAACUCGACCUCAUGAAGUCGGAGUCGCUAGUAAUCGCAGAUCAGCAACGCGC
rnacentral:rRNA from 1 species